rnacentral:lncRNA from 1 species
GGGAUUCCUUUAUGAGGUGCAACCAAAACAGCUGUUUGACAUAGCAACAGGGAUAUUCUGUCAAGGUGUCUCUCUAGCAUUUGUUCUUAAUACCGUUGUGGUUUUGAUCACUAAAAUGGCUGUGACUUUUGGACUCUCGUUGAGUGUUUCUUGGAUUUGCUGUCUGCUAAUUGGAGGGAUAACUUGUUUUACACUUAAAGGUAAUUCUAAUGGGCAUCAUGCCUACACUGGACCUGAACCAACUGGAUCCUAUGCCAAAGCAAGUGUGGUGCCUAGUCCAAAUGCUAAAGCUACUGGCCACAAUGCCACGUCAGCAGAAGCUACUGGCCACAAUGCCACGUCAGCAGAAGCUACUGGCCACAAUGCCACGUCAGCAGAAGCUACUGGCCACAAUGCCACGUCAGCAGAAGCUACUGGCCACAAUGCCACGUCAGCAGAAGCUACUGGCCACAAUGCCACGUCAGCAGAAGCUACUGGCCACAAUGCCACGUCAGCAGAAUCUACUGGCCACAAUGCCCCGUCAAGUGUGAAGUCCGGCCCCGGCGCCUCAGCAGAAGCGUCCGGCGCCUCAGCAGAAGCGUCCGGAGCCUCAGCAGAAGCGUCCGGCGCCUCAGCAGAAGCGUCCGGCGCCUCAGCAGAAGCCUCAGGAGAAGCGUCCGGCGCCUCAGCAGAAGCCUCAGGAGAAGCGCCUCAGCAGAAGCGUCCGGCCCCGGCGCCUCAGCAGAAGCGUCCGGCCCCGGCGCCUCAGCAAUAGCAUCCGGCCCCGGCGCCUCAGCAAUAGCG